GUCUUGGGAAGUGCCACCAGGGGCGCGAGACAAGGGGACUGUAAACUGGGCUCUGAAAAGGCCCAGGAGUGACCUGAACUUCUGCCAGGAACAGUCAGAUUGCCCAGGAGUAAGGGGUCCCGUAGGGGCCCUGGGGCAGAAGACUCAAAAGUACUAUGGCUGAGCCAGAGCUGAGGAUCAGCAAGAUACUCCUUGUAUCAUGGGGCCAUCUUAACAUUCCAGCCUUCUUCACCAUUCCGAGCGUGAUAUGGUGUGAAACAUCACUCCAUUAUUCCGUGCUUGGAUGCUGGUGUUGUCCCCUGUCACCCUCUCAGAUAUAGUGAGGCAGCACUAACUAUUGUCCUUGGCUAUCAGCCAAGUCACCAGAAGUUCCUUUAUCACCAUGUCAGCUGAUCUCAAGUCACGUGUGCCUCUCAUAUCCUUCUCCUAUCACCUCUCAGCCUCCUUCCACCUCCUUUCCGUCUUAUCCUUGUGAGAGUUGCCUUUAUUCUGACUAAUAGGGGGGAAUGUUACAACUUGGACUCUUCCUUCUCUCCAGCACAAAGACCAGUGCGUGGCUGCUGUUGUCCUCUUCAGGGCUGGAGUAUAGUGGUAUUGUCACCUCAGACCUUUAGUUAGACUGUUUCAUUCUUCAGUUGGCAAUCACUGGUUUUACUUGGGCAUGGCCUUGGCCAGUAAGUUAGUCUUUAGUCUGAAUGCGUCAUUGCUAGUCCCUCCAAAAGAUGCAUCCCAUUCUUGACAAAGGCUUUCAUUGCUAUUGCUGCUGCAAAGUGCUCAGAAGCGUCAGAGGAACUGAAAGGCUUCAGAAGCUUGGAAGUCUGGCUGAGAGUGGACAGAGAAAAAAGAUCUCUGGGAGGGAGCGAGGGAGGGAGGCAGAGAAAGAUUGCUCCAUAGCCAAUCAGGAUCAGGGCCUCAUUGUGCUAGGUGCUGUUUGUGCACAGUCAGGUGACAGCCCUUACCCUGAUGAGCUUACAAUGUAAAGAGUCAGGACAGACUAAGGAAGUAUUAUUAUCCCCAUUUGACAGAUGGGGAACUGAGGCAGUUGCCCAAGUUCAGACAGGCAAUCAGUGCAGAGCCAAGACUUGAAUGCAGGUUUCCAGUCCUGUGCCUUAAACAAUAGACCAUCCUUCCACUUCAAUCCAAGCUCAUUUCAUAGUGCCAUCUGGUCCCCAAGAAAUCCUUUGGCAUUUGUUACCAUUUCAGAUACAAAGAUCUAGUGCAGGGCUUUGUUAUUAUCCAGGAGCGGCGUUCAUUCCAUCUAGCCCGAGGGGUGGGGCAUUAUAUUGCUUCAUGCUCAUUAGACAGCGCCCAGUUGUGAACGUGUGAGGAGGUGGAGGAUCAGAUAAAGCCUGGAAACAUGCCAUAUAUGGGACAUGCUCAGGAAGCCCCUGGGAUCACUGGAAUUAAGCUUUAACAUAUUCUGAGCAAAUAUUGUCCUAGCCUGGUUCUGAGAAUUCUCUGUGUGCCUUUUCUUGUGGAAUCAGAGGCAUGGAGCGGGCACCCAGCCAGGGGCUCUGGCUCAAUACGCUGGGGCUGGCAGCAGGCUCUUUUCAAGGAUUUGGACCUAUGGCUUUAGCACCCAGUAUCUUCUUCUGAAUUGGUCUCCAAAUGUAAUCCAGUCAUUUGAUAACAACACGGCCUCUUCGCAAGCUGCUGCCACUGCAAGGAACACCUUGAAAGCCACGUUCCUGAAAACCAACACUGCUCAUAGGUGUUGCGGAUGGGAGCUGUUUGAAUAAGAACCACCACCUACUCCUUCAAAAAGCUGUUUGUGUCUCUCUACAGCUAUAGGCAAGCAGCCUGUUAAAGCAGCACCUGAAGUAUCCUCUGAGUGGCACAUCCUCCCUCUCUAAGAUCUAUUAUAUGGCUUGUGGAUAGUUCACUGACUGACAAGGAAAGUGAGAUAACAAGAGAGGGGAGAGACAUUUCAUGGAAGACCCUCCAUCCCUCACAAGGGAGUUUUGGAUGGGGUGCAGGACUCUGGCAUACAGGGGAAAUCCUGCAGAUCCCCUGUGUUGGGCUUCAUAGUCCCAGGAUGUUCAGAAGAGAAUUCUGCAUGUCCCCUGUGUGAGGAUUCAGAGCUUUGGAAGUGGUUGGUCUUGGGAUACAAUGGAACUGUACUCACUGGUGCCUCCACAGAAACAGAGUUACAUCAGUAUUGUCUAAUGUUGCCAUCUCUGAGGUACAAAGAAACAGAACAUCUGGGAUGACCCUGAGCCCAUAAAACUGGACAACUGGCAGUGUGUACUGAGCACCUGUAGAGAUUUCCCAUGACAGCUACCUCAAAAAAGGGACAGUCAUGGGAAAACCUGGACAGGUGGCAUCCCUAGUAUUGUCCACAAUUAUUUCUUGUCGGGGAGUCUGGUAUGGGAACAACUGUGAGCUCCCCACAGCCAGUAAUCCAAUAGCAUUCUCACUAGUUACCUCUGAAGGCCAUACAAGGUGGGUUCUCAGCCUGUGAGUUGCACCUGGCCUCCCUUUUUUUAUGGCUAAGGGGAAGAAAGGGAGCCAUCCUGAACCUCCUUUCUAUUGUAACACGGGUCACAAUAUGGAAAAGGGUGAGAAGUAUUCACUGCUUUACAGCAUUCCCUACCAUGAUUUCUAGUAUGGGAGGCAACCAUUGAAGUAUCUAUGAGCUCAUUGUAGCCAAUGCCCCAGAGUCAUUAAUGCAAUGAAAUCCUACUGGGCAUUUGUUAUACUAACUUCUGCUGGGGAAACUCUCCCACAGCCAGCGUGUGAAAUAAUACAGCAUAGGCGGCUCUGACAUUCAAGCUGGGUUUUCUGAGGAGUGUUCUGUUCAUGAGGCCCACACUGCACAACCAGAAUAGUAAUAAUAAGGGCUUGCCCCAAUCUGACUAGUUACAUGCUAACCCUAGCUUGAAAUUACAGAGCUGCAGAGCAAGGUAAAUGUGCUAAGUCUGACUUGAGGGGCAGUGCAAACAAGCAAAAAACAGGCUAAUCUUUGUUUACCUGUUGCCAACUCUCAUGAUUUUGUCAUGAGUCUCGUGAUAAUUACUGUGUUCCUUAAAGCCCAUGGAAUCACGUGGAUGCGUGAUGAUUCCCGCCUUCAUUCUUAAAGAAAAAGUAAGUGUCUAGCCCUCAUGGUUGUGGAGAAAGCUUCAAAAUGUGACCUCAGUGCACCCUAAAGGCUCAAAAAGCAGAAAGCAAAUAAAAAGA